rnacentral:rRNA from 1 species
GCCGAAAGCCUAGCCCUACCCUAAGACAGCCAACCCAUCCCACCUCAGUCACCAAAACAUUUUUAAUAGUAAAGGCGAUUGAAAAUACUAGAGCUUAACAUAGUACCGCAAGGGAAAUGAAAUAAAUGAAAUAAUUAAAGCAAAGCAGAGAUUUAACCUCGUACCUUUUGCAUCAUGGUCUAGCUAGUUUAACCAAGCAAAGCGAAAUUAUAGUUUGACACCCCGAAACUAGGUGAGCUACUUCAAAACAGCCUUCAAGGGCCAACCCGUCUCUGUUGCAAAAGAGUGGGAAGAUUUUCAAGUAGAGGUGAUAGACCUACCGAACCUAGAGAUAGCUGGUUAUUCAGGAAAAGGAUUUAAGUCCUACCUUAAGUUUUUCUAUACUACAAAAUAUACCCAUAAACUUAAGAGCUAUUCAAAUAAGGUACAGCCUAUUUGAAACAGGAAACAACCUAAAACACAGGGUAAUGAUAUUCUAAAUGUGACCAAGUGGGCCUAAAAGCAGCCAACUUUUAAAUAGCGUUAAAGCUUCAUCACUUCAUUUAACAAAUAACCAUAACACCACAAAACCCUUUACCACUACUGAAUGACUCCAUAAUUGUAUGGAGAACACUAUGCUAGAACUAGUAACAAGAAGAAGACCUUCUCCAAAAUGUAAGUGUAAGCCAAAAUGAACAUCUCACUGGCACUUAUCGUCUCUGAACUUACGGUAGCAACUUCACAAGAAAAUACUACCACACAAAACGUUAACCUUACACCAGAACAUUACCGGAAAGAUUAAAAGAAGAGGAAGGAACUCGGCAAAUUUUAACCCCGCCUGUUUACCAAAAACAUCGCCUCCUGAAAUAACUAUAGGAGGUCCAGCCUGCCCAGUGACAAAGUUAAACGGCCGCGGUACCCUAACCGUGCGAAGGUAGCGCAAUCACUUGUUCUUUAAAUGAGGACUAGUAUGAAUGGCAUCACGAGGGUUAUACUGUCUCCCUCUUUCAAUCAGUGAAACUGAUCUUCCCGUGAAGAAGCGGGAAUACAUCUAUAAGACGAGAAGACCCCAUGGAGCUUAAAACUCAGUAUCAACUACUAUACUAAUUUAUCCUCUUAAUUAAGCAGAUCUGACUACUAGUUUUCGGUUGGGGUGACCGCGGAGCAAAACAAAACCUCCACGAUGAAAGGAACUAACCUCCUAAUCAAAGAGCUACCUCUCUAAGAAUCAACAAAUUGACAUUUAUUGAUCCAACUUUUUUGAUCAACGAACCAAGUUACCCUGGGGAUAACAGCGCAAUCCAUUUCAAGAGCCCCUAUCGACAAAUGGGUUUACGACCUCGAUGUUGGAUCAGGGUAUCCCAGUGGUGCAGCCGCUACUAAAGGUUCGUUGUCAACGAUAAAA